rnacentral:tRNA from 1 species
ACCCCUGUGGUGUAACCGGGUAACACGUUCACUGUCCAGGUGAAAGUACCAGGUUCGAGGCCUGGCGGGGUAG